GAACUAGUCCAUAUCUAUUUAUUAUUAGAUAAGUCUUGUCAUUAGAGUAAGAAAUUACAAUAUCACAAAGGCAUGGAAUUUCAAAACUCAGAUCUGAAACUGCUCACAUUCAUGGAAAUAAAACAAAAGAAAGUCAUGUCAUGAAGUCUGAACCGAUGACACACUUAUAUCAGCUGAUUAAUUCACAUUACCACUUCCCUUUCAAAUCAAAUUGUCACAGGGAAUCUCCAGUGUAGCAAUAAGUGAUGUUAAUCAUGCAAUAAUCAAUCAUGUUUAAGAGCUGUAAAAUGCUCACCUCUUUCAGUUCCAUACAUUUAUUGCAUACAGCACCAAUUAUCUCCCAAGGCUUCAAGAUCCCGUUUUCUUUUCAAAUUUACAAGCUUUACAACCUGAGCAGAUUAGAUCUCAUAACAAAAUUCAAAAAGUUCUGAUCAAUAGAAUGGGUACAAAGUUGAAAAUGACCCAUAAUUCAUAUUAGAAAUGUACAGGAAAUGACAGACAUAUUAUCCCCCCCUUCCUUAUUUUGUAAUGGAAUCCAAAUAUAUCCUUAGGUGAAAAAAAAUUGAUACAAAGAUAGAGUGAAAAGAUUUUUUUUCCCCCAUUUUUCUCUUUUAUCAUGAAAAAAAAUGCAGGUUUAUAUUUCUAGAAAAGGGUAUAUAUUACUCUGAAACUGACAGGAUAAGGGAGGAGAGAGAGAGAGUCAAAGGGUUAGAAGAACCAAACCAAAUGAGAUAGUGAGGACAAAACAGGGACGAACGAUUUGGCCAUGAGUGGUUCUGUUUGGCAUGGAACAAACACGUGAAAUUUUAACAUGAGUUAAGUCGGCCAAAAGAGUGUUAAAUGGCUUGAAGCGGAAGUUGUUAUCUGCAUUCUUGGUUGGUAUCGAGUCUAUUUCAUUUUGAAUUAGCAACAAAAUCAUAAGCAUGGGCUAGUCUUUGUCUCCCUUCUGCCAUGGACCAAUAAUUGAUUUUUCCCUCUCUCUCUUGCUAACUCUCCAAAUGAGAAUGCAUAAAAAGCUCCCUCUAUAUAACGCAGCAAACCUAUCUCUUUCCAUCCCAAGAUAACCUUAUCUUUAUUUGAGCAGAUAAAGUUAGGAAAUGAGAUCCUCACAAUUUAUUUUCUUUUGCCUUCUCUUUACUUUCUUCUAUCUUCGUUCAAUGGAUCUUUUGCAUUCUCCACCUCGACUUUUCACCUCCGAAGGAAGACCUGCAAGAAAGUACCUUGGUACAUCAUUUUCCAACUAUCCCAAAUCCGAAUAUCACGAGGUUCAUGAAGACGAGUUCAAUAGACCGUCUCCAAAAGAUAUGUCCUCCAACACACCUGAACAUGAAGCAAGUAUCAACAGCUUGGGGGAACUUAUAUACCACAUUGACUAUCAUGGAGUGACAACACAUCCGAAUCCAACACCAAAACAUCCAUAGCCAUAGGAAACAUAUCAACUUCUAAGAUGAAAUGAAUUAUUCAUACAUGUACUGCACUUCAAAUACUCACUUUUGUUUUACAAUCUAUCAAAUGCUAAUUUUUUUCAUGCUACAA